rnacentral:rRNA from 1 species
CCUACGGGUGGCUGCAGUGGGGAAUUUUGGACAAUGGGCGAAAGCCUGAUCCAGCCAUGCCGCGUGAGUGAAGAAGGCCUUCGGGUUGUAAAGCUCUUUCGCAAGGGAAGAAAACUUACUCAAUAACACUGGGUGAGGCUGACGGUACCUUGAUAAGAAGCACCGGCUAACUACGUGCCAGCAGCCGCGGUAAUCCGUAGGGUGCGAGCGUUAAUCGGGCGUACUGAGCGUAAAGCGAGAGCCGGCGGUGAAAUCCCCGGGCUCAACCUGGGAACUGCGUUUGGAACUGCAAGGCUAGAGUGUGUCAGAGGGAGGUAGAAUUCCACGUGUAGCAGUGAAAUGCGUAGAGAUGUGGAGGAAUACCGAUGGCGAAGGCAGCCUCCUGGGAUAACACUGACGCUCAUGCUCGAAAGCGUGGGGAGCAAACAGGAUUAGAUACCCCAGUAGUC